rnacentral:rRNA from 1 species
CCUGGCGGCCUUAGCGCGGUGGUCCCACCUGACCCCAUGCCGAACUCAGAAGKGAAACGCCGUAGCGCCGAUGGUAGUGUGGGGUCUCCCCAUGCGAGAGUAGGGAACUGCCAGGC